rnacentral:lncRNA from 1 species
UUUUUUUUUCUUUUUGUUUUUUUGAGGCAUAUUCCUUUCUUUAUUUUCACUAUUUUACUAUUUGAUUUUUCAUAAAAAAAUUCUUUUUCUCUCUAAAUACUUUGUUCUUCAUACCCUUGCAUUUUUUUAGUAAUCACCUAUCCUUAAGGCAAGGUGGUGACCAUUUGUUUCAUCUUUGAUCAUCCUUAGUAAUAUUAUGUAGGCUUCAUCUUUG